rnacentral:misc_RNA from 1 species
GAAUUGCGAUAAGUAAUGUGAAUUGCAGAAUUCAGUGAAUCAUCAAAUCUUUGAACGCACAUUGCGCUUUCUGGUACUCCGGAAAGCAUGCCUGUUUGAGAAUCGAUAAAUCAAUCACUCUAUUUUUGUGGUCAAACACAACUAUGGUGUGGAUAUGAGCUUUUUGCAUUGCAAUAGCUUUAAACAAAAUGUCAAUGGCCUCCUUUGAAAGGGAUGAGCUUGAGUGCAUGAAAAGUUUUCAACUUGAAUACAUUCAUAAGCUUGUUUUUUUUUCGAUUGAAGUCAGGGAUUCAACCAUUUAUCAAGGUCUUUUCAUUUUGAAUUGAUUUUGAACACUUGGUCUCAAAUCAGGUAGGAAAACCCGCUGAACUUAA